rnacentral:sRNA from 1 species
UCUUAUUUAUCUCAUAGGUUAUAAAGAUCUACAUUCAGGAAAAAAUACAUUAGGGAAAAAAUAAGAUUCUUGAAUAUACAGUGCAUUUUUUUUAUCUGUAGAAAAACGAGACAAUCUUACAAUAUGGAAAGAAGCAAAUAUUGUCCAUCUGCAAUUGUCUUGUUUUUUUUUUGACAUUUUCAACUUCACAUGUUGUUCCUUUAUUUUAUUUGCUGUUAUGUAUGAGUGGUUAUAUAUGUGUGUAUAUUAGCUGCACUAUUUAUUCUUUAAAGUUUGAUUAUAUAUGUGUGUGAUAUAAUAGAAGUUAUAAAUUUGAAAUCAUUGAAGGUGCUGAAAUGGACAUAAAAUUGAAA